AACGUAAUUGCCUCGUUCGAAGGGACAUCUGGCAAAAUUAACCCGUUCCUUGACUAUCUGGAGACAACGCGCUGGAGAAUAAUACUUAAGAGAACCAGAUCUCAGUGAGUGAGUACAAGCAAGAAAUUAAAUUUAAUAAUAGGACUUAGGACCACAGUUUACCAUCUGCUAGUAACUCCAAAUUUCAAAAACAAGUAGAGAACCAGAUCUCAGUGAGUGAGUACAAGCAAGAAAUUAAAUUUAAUAAUAGGACCACAGUUUACUAUCUGCUAGUUAUUCCAAAUUUCAAAAACAAGUAGUUAGGUGAAAAACGUCGUCUAGACAGCUAUGGAAUUUAUUUUUUUACCCAUGACAACUGUUGUUCAUCGACCUUGUGAUAACCCAAACAUCCCGCCUUAAAUUGACAUGUGAAAAAGAAUUAAAAGCCCGCGAAAAUUAAAAAAUUUUGCCUUGGCUGUGAUCGUCGUACAAAAUGUAACCCCACAUUGCGUUUUGAAAAAUGGCGGGGUGCGUUCAGAUGCAAA